AGAAUUGGGGAUCCGUCGAGCCAUCAAAAUUUGAACGAACAUAUCAGCACAACCCAUCAACUUAUAGAUAUAACAGAUAUGGGAUAGACGGAUAUCCUUCAAACGUGGUUUUGGGAUAUAUUCUUUUAGCAAGGGAUAAAGGCAAAAACAUAUCCAUAGAGCAUACGGACAACGUUGCCAAUAUUAUCCUGGAAUCAAUUAUGACAGUGUCGAAAUUAUUCAACGGUGACAGGGCAACAAAAAUCAUUAAUGUCCUAUACGCAAAGGCAUUAAACAUUAGAACAGCAAUCCCAAGUUGGUAUGCCUAU